CUUGACAAAAUAUAAGAGGUCCAGCCUGCCCAGUGAUAAAUUUAACGGCCGCGGUAUCCUAACCGUGCGAAGGUAGCAUAAUCAUUUGUUCUUUAAAUGGGGACUUGUAUCAACGGCACCACGAGGGCCAUACUGUCUCCUUUCUCUAGUCAGUGAAACUGAUCUCCCCGUGAAGAAGCGGGGAUUUAACUAUUAGACGAGAAGACCCCAUGGAGCUUAAAACUCAUCAUAUAAUUCUGUACCUCAUACCACCUUAAUUCAGAAUCCUAUAUGCUAGUUUUAGGUUGGGGGGACCUCGGAGUAUAAUUUAACCUCCAUAACAAAUGGGCUAAUACCCUUAUCCAAGAUAAACACCUCUAAGAAUUAUUAAAUUAAUGUUUAAUGACCCGAUAUAUUCGAUCAAUGAAC
rnacentral:rRNA from 1 species